GUCCUUUUUUUAAUAUAAGGUCUAACCUGCCCACUGAGUUUUGAAGGGCCGUGGUAUAUUGACCAUGCGAAGGUAGCAUAAUCAUUUGCCUUCUAAUUAGAGGCUGGAAUGAAUGGUUGGACGAGAAAUUAGCUGUCUCUUUUCUUAAUUUGAAUUUAAUUUUUUGGUGAAAAAGCUAAAAUUUGCUUGGAGGACGAUAAGACCCUAUAGAUCUUUUUUGUUGGGGCGACAUUGAGUGAAGAUUAAACUCUCAAAUUGAUUAAACAAUUAUAAUUGAUUAUUUGAUCCUUUAGUGAAUUAAGAUUAAGUUACCUUAGGGAUAACAGCGUAAUUCUUCUUGAGAGUCCAAAUCGACAGAAGAGCUUGCGACCUCGAUGUUGGUUCAGGAUUCCUACUAGGUGCAGCAGUCUAGAAAGGUAGUCUGUUCGACUAUUAAAAUCCU
rnacentral:rRNA from 1 species